rnacentral:tRNA from 1 species
GGAGUGGCUGUGGCUAAGUGGUAGAGCAUUUGCUUGGCAUGCAGAAAAGCUCAGGUUCAAUUCCUGGCAUCUCCA